GUGUUGUAUGAAAGGAGAGAAGGUUAACACUCCCUUUGACAAGGAUGGAAGAUGUUCUUGGACCUGUACAACAUACAAAUACGGUUAAAAACUUUUU
rnacentral:ncRNA from 1 species